CAUAUCUCGUUGAAACACCGGUUCCCUUCCGAUCACCGAAGUUAAGCAACCUCGAACCUGGUCAGUACCUAGAUGAGUAACAACCUGGGUAUAGCAGGUGUUGCAA